UACGGAGGAUGCAAGCGUUAUCCGGAUUCAUUGGGUUUAAAGGGUGCGCAGGUGGGAAAAUAAGUCAGUGGUGAAAUACUGCCGCUUAACGGUAGAAUUGCCAUUGAUACUGUUUUUCUUGAGUAUGGUUGAGGUAGGUGGAAUGUGUUGUGUAGCGGUGAAAUGCAUAGAUAUGACACAGAACGCCGAUUGCGAAGGCAGCUUACUAAGCCAUUACUGACGCUGAGGCACGAAAGCGUGGGGAUCAAAC
rnacentral:rRNA from 1 species